GGGGAAACAGAGGGUGAGAGAGUGUGGCAUGGAUCGAAGGACCCUGUGAUCCUCCAUCAGAGAUGGAGCCUCAAAGCCCCCAUGAUCUCCAAACACACUCAAGGCAAGAAGAAGAAGGAUGGAGGGAAGGCAGAAGUGGACAGAGGUGUUGAGCAAGCAUAUUUAAGAUAUCUCUAAAAAAAUUGUUUGCAUAUAAGAACAUCAGACCAUGUGAGCAUAUUGCUAAGCCCUUCCCUGGGGUCUUGGGAAAGGCCCAUGCAACUGAAGGGCCCCGAAGUGGAAGCUUUACCAGCUGCACAGCAAGUCAGCUUCUAAUUUAUUUCAACACCAAGCCAGGGUUCCAGGACAUGGCUCCCAUAUCUCCAUUCUCUUCUGUGUCAAGGUCCGUUCCAUGCCCACCAACUGGGCUCCUUAUCCAGAUGUGGGGACUUGUGGCCUCCCCUUUAUUCAGGAGUGUUCAGCAGAACUAAGAUGCCCUAUUAUCAAGUCCUUCCUCAUUCUCAAUUUCUCCCAGAUGAUCUGCUGCAUCUUCAUGAAAACCUGCCUCCUCCUCAGACAAGGCCUCCUCAACUGUACUCGCUACUUCUCAUUGUCUUGGUUCAUUGCUGUGAAUUAUGGAAGAAACUAUCUUUGAGUCAGUAAAGAAUAUGAAAAGUUAAACAAGUUUUAUUAGGCAAAAUUCAAAGUGGCAGUGAAUGGGAAUCAAGAAUAUACACAAACUUUGCAUGUUGACAGUGAUAGAAAAACGUCCUAGUGUAGGAUGCUAUGGUAAUUAUAGCAUGGAUCACCUGGAACUGAUUCCGGAAAGAGUAUCAAAACAUUAGAGUCGAUGAUGUAAGACAAGCCCAGGAGAAUUUUUAACCCAGUUGUGACUUACAAAUCCAGAAGAAUUUUUAGCUCAGUUUGGGUGGGGAUGUGACAGCUGCCUCUCAAUAAUUGUUACGUGUACCUACAAGGACGGAGUGAAUAAUGUAGCUGGGCACAAAGCAAUCUAAAUUAAACCAAGUAAGUUAAAUUAAGUAAAAGAUAAUGAGAGCCAGAUGUUGUGAAACUCCGUUAGGCUAUGGAAAUAUCCCGAAAGAGAUGCAAGUAACAUCAUUACUCAGAACCAAGAAAAUAGUAUUAUCACGGAAUGUGUUAUGAGUAACUUCAGGAUGCUUCUUCCAGGGGACUAACUGGAGGCCCAACACGUUUCCUGUUUCUCUUGCCAAAUGCCACAAUUCUGUGAUCCUUGUUUACCCAAUGCCAAAUUAUGAGGACAAAUUUCUUCAUUAAUAUAAUACUUAAAAACAAAGACUAUUGCCUAAAGAGUUCAAUCACUUAAAGCCCUACUUUUUUUAAAAAAUGUGUCAUCUCAUAGAAUAACUGAAUUUCCCAAAAAAUCCAAUUAAUUUGGAUGCUGUACAAUGAAGCCUGUUAAACUGGAAAGAAAGAGACAAGAGCAGGGAAGACAGGUUUCAUCUAGUAAGCUUACUGUAAUUAAUUAAUAGCAUUUGCUUGGGGCUGUGAGUGGAGAAGGGUUUUGAGGAAAAUAAUAUCAUGAUCCAUCAGUGAUGUCUGCCAUGGUAUGUGAUAAGCCAGCAACAACUUGUCUGCCAUUUGCAAAACUCUCUUAGACCAGAGCUAGAGGUCAGCUAACCACAGACUCAUCAGAAUCCAAGAGGCCCCAGGCAGUGUAGACACAGCCCUGGAGCUGAGGCUUUCUGCUCCUCCCUUAAAAGAUUCCACCAGUGGCAAAGAAAC
rnacentral:lncRNA from 1 species